CCGACAUCACCGUCACCAGCCAAUCUGAUGAACGCAACCUCGAUGGCAGCAGCCAAUGGAGCUACGCCCAGUCUGACUACACCACUCGUGAAGAGUCCCAGGCCCAAAAGAAGAUGCAAGGAGUCGCCUACGAUUCUUACGGCAAGGCUACCUACGAGGACGUUAUGGGAAACACCAACAAGGGAUCCUCUUACUGGGUUUCCCCUGAAGGUCAGAAAUUCACUUUAACCUGGACCGCUGAUGAUGCUGGAUUCUAGCCCAAAGGUGACCACUUGCCCGUCGCCCCCGUCCAUGAAUACUCAACACGAGAUUACAACGUUCUCAGACCCAUUUUACCUCAAUUUUGUAGGAGACGUCAAUAACAUCGCAAAAAUGCAAA